GGACGCUCCGCACCAUAAGGCAUCCUGUCCAUUUUGGAGAAAAUUUAAGACUUUUAAUGGCGCCUUAUAGUCGUGAAAAUACGGUAUAGAAAGACUCUCCAUAAUGUACAAUUGUGCAGUAGUACCACCCAAUGACAUCUGCGCGAUAAUGUGGACAGUCAUCAAGCAGAGAUAAAGUGAUCAGUGGUGCGGUACUUCUCAUACAAUGACGGUUGUGCAGUUGAUGUAGAAAAUCGUUGCACAAUUUUUUAAGUGACCUGUGGCAUUAAUUCUAGUUCAACGUUGGUUGUGCAGAAAAGUACUUGAGCGCUUUAAAGCAGCUGUCCCCAACUUUUUUUGCCCCACGUACCAAUUUAUUGUCAGACAAUAUUGUCAGGGAUCUGCCUUUAAGGUGUGGAUAAAUACAACAAAAUAAUAUGAUGUGACCUGUAUGAAAACAAAGGUGUUUUCUAAACACAAUAAAAAACCACGAACCAUAGUCCGAGGAACGUCAUAUCUGUCCGCAACACUCUCUGGUCCCUAUGGUAAUGUUUAAACGUGCCUUCAAAAUAAGAAACUCCGCAUAUACUCUACAAAGUGCAUGAAAAAUACAACUCACCAUCGCCCCACAUUAUGCAGAGUGGCCUUGGUGCAUGGGAAUCUCACGUUGAGAUAAAUCCGUAUGUUAAGUAGGACUCCUGAUAAUGUACAUAAAAUGCAGCCCUCUUUUUCUUGAAAGUCGUAGGCUCCUCUUCUGUCUCCUGGCCUUUUCCCCUUCUCAAAGAAAUUUCCAAAGACCAUUGUUUUUUUUACUCAUUUUGCUCGCUCCUGGGUUUCUUUUUAGCAGUAACCAGGUGGCCGAGAAGCUCACCUUAACCUGCGUCACGUGUAACAUACUUUAGACGGAUUUCACAGAAAAUCCAGUAUUUUUUCAAAAUUAAACAUCUUUCAGAUUCUGAAAUUAAUAAAACGGGAGUAAUGUUUCUCAUUUAUUCUUUCUCUGUGGCCCGGUAAUAAAUGACCCAUGGACCAGUACCGGUACAUGGCCAGGGGUUUGGUGACCGCUGCGUUAAAGUGUCUAGUGCUGUGGAAUAUUGAUCAACGACAAUGAUCACUACGGUCAUACUGUCCUUCAAGGGUGUGCAAAAAUGAAAAGAUGCAAAGUGCCACUAUAGAAUUUGAGUCAAUUGUUUCGAGAGUUAAUGGCGAUAUAGAAGAAGCAAUUUGAAUGUCUGCUGGUUUUGGUGUGCAUGGUUCAGUAGUUCAUCAGUAAGCUUUGCAGAAGCCCGAUAAUGGUCCUCAUCAUUUGAAUCAGAUGUAUUGGAGGAGGGACACAUCUAAAACAGACUGAAUAGGGAUCUCAAGGACCAGAGUUGGGCAUCCGAUCAGGUCAGGACAAAUUGUCCUUUAAAAUGAUAGGCACAACAAAGUUUUUCAGAAAUAUAAAAUCACAGUCAUGAUAUUUCCACGCUUAAAGGACAAUUAUCCAGAUAGACAUUAAAGACCAAGUGUGAAGUAAAGUUGGCCAACCAUGUUUUUGAGUAAUAUCAAUGACUGAACAAUUAUAAGUAUAUUUCCGUUAUUUUUUUUUAACGCAAUCCUUCCAGAUUCUUUGUUUAACCCGUAGCAACGCCCUUGACAACAAAAAUGCUUUUCUUCGGCAAUCUUCGGAAAUAACGAUACAUAGAGAGAUGCGAGGGAAGUCCUUCCAUUGAACAGCAUUGUUGCAUUGCUUGUUGGUAAGAUGCCACUGCGGUGUGUGGCGAUGUGUUGUUCGCAAUUGACAGAAAAGUUGUGCCAGUGGCCAAAGGAUAGCAGGGCACUUAAAUGGGCAUCUUUUAUUCGCACGAAGCGAAUGAAUUUCACGCUAUCAUCGACGAGUGUUCUCUGCCAUCUCCACUUCAAAGAUGACUGCUUUCUCAACCGGUCUGCUUAUGAUCAAGGAUUUGCAAAAAAAGUAGCGAGACUGGGGGAAUGGAGCUGGAGGGCCUGAAAAGAUGCCGUUCGGAGUUGGAAGGCUUCAAUGCAAAAGUUGUCGUUACCAACAGGCAUCGCCAGCGCCAGUUGGGGAAAUGGAUCAGGGAGAAUUGGACCCAAGUCAUCCAUUAUUAUGAUUCUUGGCACAUUGUUAAAGGUAUGUGCAAGAAACUGGACUCCUUGGCCAAAAAGAAGAGCAUGUCGAUCCUGAAGGAUUGGGUACAAAGUUUGAAGUGCCAUUUGUACUGGUGUGCACUUUCCUCCCAGCACCGGAGGAAAAGAAGCAGAAGUGGCUGGCAUGUGUGGACCACCUGCAGAACGUGCACGAUAGUUGUUUAAAUCCUCCAAUUACUAGAGAAAAGGCAUGGCUAUUACCAGGUUUUGGGUUUUUUGUUAGAUUUUGCCUGCUAGUUAACCCUAAAAAAUAGAAAUAUUGUCAUACCUACCAAAGUAAAUGUCGCAGUGGUGGAACUCCUGACAAAGACCAUGUUUGUCAACAAUGUCAUGAAGAUGUCUCACAUCGGACAGACCAGUGGCGUGGAAGCUUUUCACAGUGUACUGAAUCACCUUGCCCCAAAGAUGUACCACUUCUCGUACAAUGGAAUGAAAAGCAGAAUAAUUCUUGCUGCUAUGCAAUAUAAUAAAAAUGCUGGCAGAUGACAGAAAGUGACAAAGGAAGGAAUACACUCCUACUGUAUAUUUAUCCCAAAUAUACUAGUGGUGGGUAUUCUCUGAGAAAGAUACUGGUGGAUGCAACUUAUGAUAAGUUAUGAAAUAAAAAGUAAUUCCAGACAGAUGCAUUACAUACUGAGUAUGUCAUCUACCCAUAUGUCGUCUAAAUAUUUAUCAUCCCAAUAUGUUUUUUUUGUUUUUUUGUAGACUAUGUGAAUGACUGACUGUCAGAGGUGAUGAAACUGACUGCCAUUCAAAAUAAGUACAGAACUGGUGAUGUGUGUGUCGACCCGCAAUUUCUGACAACAGCACUGAACAGACCAGACCGGACAAGUCAACCUUUAUUGCCGAGCACCAGACUAGAUUGCAAAAGAAAUUAAAAAAAUUACAUUCCUUGUAUUCAAUUGUCUUCAUUUGUUUAUUUUUAUUCCAGUAUUUUGUUAUGAGAGACGACAUGUCCACAUUAACCACUCUAAAAACAGUCCAAAUCACAGUUCUGGAACAUUUCUCUGUGAAACACUAGAAACCCUUUAAAUACAGCUGACUCUUGUCCUGGUGGUGGAAAAUGUGCCCUGACACAAGACACGGUGCAUGCUGGGAGCACAACACAGUUGUCCUGACCAAGAAACUUCUAGCAUGUUUGUUGUUGUUUUUUUUUUUCUCUUCUUCUUUCUACAUACAUUCUUGCUGCUGGAGGCUGUAAAUUUCCCCAUUGUGGGACAAAUAAAGGAUAUCUUAUCUUAUCUUAUCUUGUGUCCUUGUUUAUGAUUAUACUAAUGCAGCGUGUUAUACCAGAGACAAAUUCCUUGUGUCUUCUACAUACUUGGCCAACAAAGACGAUUUUGAUUCUAUACCCAUCAAUCAAAAAUUCCGUUGUUUAUGAAAACAUUUGAAAUAAUCCAAGUAUAUGGAUGGAAUACUGUACAAAUUUUUAAAAAUUCAUUCCAAAAAUCUCUCAAGUACAAGUCAAAAAAUUAUUUGAUAAAAUGAAUGCUCAAGUACCGAGUAGGCUAACUGCUUGAACAUGAAGUCUGAUUUUUCUUUUUUAAACAAUGUCAUCAGAUAGACAAAAACAUAAAAUUAUGUGCACAUGCCUGGAUCUUCAAAUCAUAAAAGUAAUACCAGCCUAUAUUUUACCAAUCUU